CGCAAAACAAAAACAAAGUUUCAGAUUAGGCCUUUGAUUACAAGUUAUAAGUGAGUUUAUUUUUUAAGUUUCAACGACUUUUUUGGAAACAAAUAAAAAAGAUUGCUAAAACAGUAAAGGAUUCAUUGGUACCGUGAAGAAGCGUUUCGAAAGGAGAUUGCCAAGGUAAGCGGAACUGCUUAGAUGGCUCAGCAGAUAAAUAAGAUCCCGUCGACGUUUGUCGCGUCCCGUUAUCUGAACUCGUUUCCGGAAAGUUCCGUUUAGGAUUACUCCACCAACUGAGCCGAGUGUGUGCCAUGCUCAAUCGAGUUGAAAGGAAAGAAAAUAAAUCACCAUGAAUAUAUGAUCUAUUACGUGUCCAAAAUGGAACAAAAUUAGCCCGAGAAUGGAUUAUAGAAUCUGCACCUGGCAUGGAUCAAUCUUAUCAAACUUAUCUGCUUAUCUGUAGGAUCACUUGAUAUCGCUAUCGGCGAGAAAGUGAAGAUGUUGGUGGAACAGAUGCGUUGCAUCUCGUACCUUGGUAUUAUCGUUUACGUGCUAGAACCGGUAGGGAUGUUUGGACCCAUCCUAUUCCGCAGUUCUAUGUGGUUGUGUCAUUGCUAGGAUUUCAUCAGAUCGGUCAGUGAAGAGCGCUUAGUUGA